CCAGUUCAACCCAGUUGCUCCCAGUUGCUCCCAGUUGCCCCCAUUCGUCCCAGUUGCUCCCAGUUGCUCCCAUUGCUCCCAGUUGCUCCCAGUUACUCCCAGUUGCCCC